rnacentral:rRNA from 1 species
AUGUUGGAGGUUGUGCUUUCGGAGGAGAGCGAAGGGGGGCACAGGGAAACUACCACCUCUGCCAAGGAGGCCUUCAAUAAGGGGGGAAUCAAGAAUCCCUCCUUCCAGGGGGAGAAGAGGACCGCUUCCGAAGACCCGGAGGCCAAGGCCUCAAAGCGGGGAAGGAAAUCUGCGCCGGAAGGUCCUGCGCCGGGAAGAGCCCCGGCCGCACAGUCUCCUCAUAGGAAUCAGCCCUCCAGCGAGCCUUCGGAUCUCAACCCAUCUCAGCAGAGCUCAUCUUCGAGGGACCUUCGUCCGGAGAUGAUGGAGAGCGAGACGCCUCCAUCUGCCGCCCCGUCGGGCGGGGAGGACGAUCCUGAGGUGUCGUCACGAAGGGUCUCCCCGAGUCCGGCGGGGCCAGAAGGUCCGGCACCCAUUGGAGUACGGCCGGCAGAGCUGUAG